rnacentral:rRNA from 1 species
AUUGAACGCUGGCGGCGGGCCUAACACAUGCAAGUCGAACGAGUGGCGGACGGGUGAGUAAUGUCUGGGAAACUGCCCGAUGGCGGGGGAUAACUAAUGGAAACGGUAGCUAAUACCGCAUACUAUCGGAUGUGCCCAGAUGGGAUUAGCUAGUAGGGGGGGUAACGGCGCACCUAGGCGACGAGCCCUAGCUGGUCUGAGAGGAUGACCAGCCACACUGGAACUGAGAGACGGUCCAGACUCCUACGAGAGGCAGCGGUGGGGAAUAUUGCACAAUGGGCGCAAGCCUGAUGCAGCUGUGCCGCGUGUAUGAAGAAGGCCUUCGGGGUGUAAAGUACUUUAAGCGAGGAGGCGUUACGCGCAGAAGAAGCACCGGCUAACUACGUGCCAGCCGCCGCGGUAAUUC